CUUUGAGGUAAAAUAUUAGCCUUCAGUUAUUUGAGGUAAAUAUUAUCCUUCAGUUCUUUGAGGUAAAAUAUUAGCCUUCAGUUAUUUGAGGUAAAUAUUAUCCUUCAGUUCUUUGAGGUAAAAUAUUAGCCUUCAGUUAUUUGAGGUAAAUAUUAUCCUUCAGUUCUUUGAGGUAAAAUAUUAGCCUUCAGUUAUUUGAGGUAAAUAUUAUCCUUCAGUUCUUUGAGGUAAAAUAUUAGCCUUCAGUUAUUUGAGGUAAAAUAUUAGCAUCCAGUUAUUUGAGGUAAAAUAUUAGCCUUCAGUUAUUUGAGGUAAAAUAUUAGCAUCCAGUUAUUUGAGGUAAAAUAUUAGCCUUCAGUUAUUUGAGGUAAAAUAUUAGCCUUCAGUUAUUUGAGGUAAAAUAUUAGCAUCCAGUUAUUUGAGGUAAAAUAUUAGCCUUCAGUUAUUUGAGGUAAAAUAUUAGCAUCCAGUUAUUUGAGGUAAAAUAUUAGCCUUCAGUUAUUUGAGGUAAAAUAUUAGCAUCCAGUUAUUUGAGGUAAAAUAUUAGCCUUCAGUUAUUUGAGGUAAAAUAUUAGCAUCCAGUUAUUUGAGGUAAAAUAUUAGCAUCCAGUUAUUUGAGGUAAAAUAUUAUCAUCCACUUCUUUGAGGUAAAUAUUAUCCUUCAGUUCUUUGAGGUAAAAUGUUAGAGUCCAGUUCUUUGAGGUAAAAUAUUGCCC